GACGAACGCUGGCGGCGUGCUUAACACAUGCAAGUCGAACGAGAGCGUAGAGAAAGCUUGCUUUUUCUACAAUCUAGUGGCAAACGGGUGAGUAACGCGUAAACAACCUGCCCUACGGAUGGGGACAACAGCUGGAAACGGCUGCUAAUACCGAAUACGUUCCGAAAGUCGCAUGACUAUCGGAAGAAAGGAUGGCCUCUCUUUAUAAGCUAUCGCCGGAGGAGGGGUUUGCGUCUGAUUAGCUAGUUGGAGGGGUAACGGCCCACCAAGGCGACGAUCAGUAGCCGGUCUGAGAGGAUGAACGGCCACAUUGGAACUGAGACACGGUCCAGACUCCUACGGGAGGCAGCAGUGGGGAAUCUUCCGCAAUGGGCGAAAGCCUGACGGAGCAACGCCGCGUGAGUGAAGACGGCCUUCGGGUUGUAAAGCUCUGUUAUACGGGACGAAUAAUCUUGUGGUUAAGACCCAUGAGAAGGGACGGGACCGUAAGAGAAAGCCACGGCUAACUACGU
rnacentral:rRNA from 1 species